CUUAAAAUAAAAGCAAGGUGCUGAAAAUACCUAGACGAGUUAAUUUAACUCCAUAAACA
rnacentral:tRNA from 1 species